UCCUGACCUGGUCUCUCUGCAACUUGUGACGGGUCCCAGCGGCUCGCAACCUGGUCUCUCAGCAGUAUUUGGCUGGUCUCUCGGUGGUGUGGUGGGUCCCGGCCUGGUCUCUCAGCUGCUCAUGGCAGUGUCUCGGCAGCGUGCAAGUGGACCAUGCCUGGGCAUGUUCCCCAGGGGCAAUGAGGAGAUCGGAGAGCUGGCGGUUUCAGCAGCAGCAACAGUAUCUGUGGGAGUGGCCCUGAGAACAGAUAGCAGAGCAAGAUAAGCUGAGGACUCAUCGAAGACUGUUGAACUUAUUCCGUUUUGUUCCGAGUUUAAACUAUGAAAGACUUUAAUUGAGUGUAAAUAAGGACAUAGAAGAUUAUGGAAGUUCUAUAUUGGAGGAUUGCAUCAGUUCCUGGACGCAGUUGGAGAAGUCACCAGGGAGCAGCGGAGCCUGUCAGGAUAUCAACUGAGUAUCACAUGGAAGUGUACUAUCCAAAAGUACCCAGCAAUGAAUACUACAGUGAUCUGCCUGUUAAGGACAUUUCUAACCUUCUUCUGUGUGUGUGGACCGUGCUCACUGAAGUGUGAACCCCAUUACUGAAGAAUGAUACAAGAAUGAUAGGUGAUUUAGUCAUGAACAAGUGAAAACAAGGAUCAAUAAAGCACAUACAAAGUGAUCCAUUUUUUGAGUUUUCAGUUAUGAUAAUAUUGACAAUGUCUGGCAGAUGUGGCAAAUACAUGUGACAUUUAUAGAUGCAUCUUUUACAUGUUGUAUGUAUAUGUCCUCACUAUGUUAUAGAAGAGCAAACCUACAUCAAUCAUCCAUAUUGAAUAACAUUGUAAAAGCAGGAUGCUUUGGAUUCACCGUGGUGAUGUUUCUCAUGUAAGCAUGUUUAAGCUCAAGUACCCAUAUUUUUCAGAUAUUUGCCACUCCACAAAAGAUUAAUAAAAAUGAAACAACUUGCAUUUAUAUAAUAUAUUUCAGGCAUAGCUUCAGGCAUUUCACAGCAAAUGAAGUACAGUAGUUUUAAAGUGUUGACACAAUUGUAAUGUGAGGAAAAGUGACAGUCAAUUUGUCUCUAAACAGCAAGAUAAAUGACCAGAUGACUGUAAUCUGUUCUUAGUGGUGGGAGUGGUCAAGAACUGUGCAUUAGCCAAGGCACCCAAAGUCAUAGAGUCAUAGAGAUGUACAGCAUGGAAACAGACCCCUCGGUUCAACCCGUCCAUGCCG